rnacentral:lncRNA from 1 species
AAACUAUCCUGGGUUUGUACCAAACUUGGACAGAAGCUUAUUUAUGAUCAUAAGAUUGUAUCCAGAAGUAAAGUUUGUAAAAAGAUUACUCCGUUUUUUUCUGUAAUUUACUUUUAAAUGGACUUAGAUUUUCUUACAAUCAUAAAAUAGUAACAAGAGGAAUAUUUUUAUUGAUUUUUUUCCUCAUUGUUGUUGAGCCUGCGAUUUACUGCAAUAAUAGGCGAGACACUGGGUUCCGCGGAACCCUUACAAAUUUUU